GGAUGCAGUUACGGAGGGGACUGGGGCAGACGCCGCGGCCACGCCUGGCACCCUGUGCCAUGCGGUUGGAGGCGGCGAUGUUGGCGGGGCCGGGGUCACCCGGAGGGGACGCGUCGGAGAGGACCGGGCGGAACCAGCGCCCUGCCUAACCUGAGGGGGUAGUCUGGGGGUGUGCGCUGCUGAACUUGAGGUGGACCUGAAUAUGUCCUUAAAUUGUUAAAAAUAGUCUCGCUGUAUAGAGAAGAACACUGGAACCUUUAAGUCCCCAUCCCCUCUCCUGAGUCCAGAGUGAAACUCCAAACAUACUUAUUAAGAAACUGUUGCUUUAUUUUGACUCGUUUACAUAAAUUUUCCACUUUGGGGGGAUGGUGGUGGGCUUGUGGAAUCCCUAAAAUAACUUUUAAUGGAGCGAAGCCUUCCAUUAUGGGAAGCGCCUAGACGCGAGAGGCGUCUGGAGGCCUAGGUUCCCGUCACAGCCCUGCCACCAACUGGCUGAGCGACUGAGGCACAUCGCUGCCCCUCCCGGCCAGUGGGCCAGUGUUAGGAGAGUGGACUCCCCCUCCACCCCGAAAGGAGAGACCAGAGAGCUGUCUGAACCAUUAAGAGACUGGGUUUUCCUUCCUUAGAAUGUUCUGAUACCAUGGAGAGGCAGCGUGGAGUGAGAGUGAAAAUGAAAGAGGUGAAAGCAGUUUGCUGUUCUCAGGGGUGUACUCUGUGCCUAACUCCUGUGAUGUUUAUGGCUCAGUCAAGGUCAAGGUCACCUUCAGAUCUGUGCAGGUCCAUUAAUUAUAUAUUAUCCUAUCACUGUGGGGAAACAUCCCAUCACUUCAGAACCUUCAGACCUUUGUACCGUCCUCCUGCAAAAGGACCUGUCAGGAGGGGCACGAAGGGCCUGACGGGGAGGGACUUUUGAUAGAGGGAGAGAAGAAUGAAGGUGGACAGGUGAUGUCAACUUGAUGUGUCACAUUUCAGGGAGCCGUAACAGCUUUAUGGCCCUGACCCAGGGAGGCCCUGCCCACCGUACCACCGAGGCUCCGAGAGGCUGAGUAAUGUGGAUACCCAGCAGUUUUCCAGGCUGGCAGGUCGGAGGCCUUGCCAGAGGAGGACCUCUCUAAUUGACUCUCCCAGCUCUGCGGCCUGACUCACUUGGGGCGGGUCUACACCACAGUCUAAGUACAGCGAACGAGGAGGGUGGCUUCAAGCAAACUGAAAACCAUUUGGAAGAAGAGACAGUAGGCACACAGGGUGACUGUUACAGGCUGCUCUGGAGCUGGAAGGACGGAGUCUGCCUGCAGCUGUGUCUCGAACUCUGACCUCAAAGGGCCAUCAGAAGACUGACGUGAGCUCCAGCGAAGGGGACGCUGAGCCGCGCAGGGAUAAAGCGAUUUGCCCAGGGUCACCAGGCUAACGCUCCCUAAAGAACAAUCCUACGAGGAAGGUGCCAGUCUUGUCAACCCAGUUUACAGAUGUGACUGCGAGGCGCAUCACUAGUAAGGGGCAGAGCCAAGACUGGAAUCCAGGAAAACGACUUCCCAGCCUUAUUGGGUUGGUUGUUUCUAAACUCUGAUGCUUGGCCUUCCUUCUUUGACACUGUCCCAACUGGUCCUAGGGAAACCUACAGGAAGUCCCAGACAAGAGAAAAAGGGCCUCCUUCUUCAUUACCCUAUCCCUAGGACACUGAUCGCCAUCGCCAGUAAAAGUUCAUUUCAUUUCCUACCAGGAAGGUUAGGCAAAACGAGCUUACAGGGCGGCCCCCGCCCUCAGAAUCCAUGAUAAUCAGGAUAAUUAGCAUCUCUAUACGACUUCGUUUACAUAGUGCUUGUGCUGGCGCGGUGUCCGCCCUCGCCAGCAACCCCGGGGUGAGGGCUUUGUGCUGGGAGCCUCACACUAAGUCUGGCACACACAAGAUGAUGUUAAUUCCCUGUUUGUUGUAUGAGGAAAGCAGACAGACUGAGGAAACAGGCUUUCCCAGGGCCUCGAAGCUAGUCAUGGCAGGAAAGUAUACUUGAUCCUAAAACUGGGCUGAGGGUCCCUGCUGCUCCUUGAGGUCCUCGCCAGUAGAAAUGCCUUCACCAUCACUCAUGGGGCUGGGCUCCUUUGGUGGGUCCCAGAACGUGCCAGGACCAGCAUGUGUGGUCACCAUGACUCUUCUGGUCUACUGCAGACAUCAUUCCCCCCUUCUGCACGCGGCCGGGGCUGAUUCACCAUUACCAGAUGUCUGGUUCCUUGGAUCCGACCCAGCACUUACGAGGCAGAAAUGAGCACCAAAUUCAUCGCCUAAUGACUUCUGGAAUGGGAAAGAUAAAAAUGGGGUGGUGGGGGGGAGGGAAUCAGAAAACAGCUAAGGUUAAUUUGGCAAUCCAAUUCGACCAGGAGCUGGGAAUCUGUGUUUUUGUUUUUGUUUUUUUUGGUGGGAGGGGAAUUUGUUUCCAGUGUGGCUUUAUCGUCAGGGCACAGGGGUGCAAGAGCACAUGGCUGUGGGGGUCCCAAACAGAUCCUGUUCAGCCGCUCCCUGCUGUCAAAAUCCAAAGGCAGAGGAAUGAGGGGUGAUGAAAUAAGAAUUUACUUCCGUGAGGCCAAUCCCGGGAAGAUGGCAUACGAAUAUCAAAGACUAUCUCCAAAGGGCUGAAAGGUUUAUGCAAGGACCGGGUGGGGCAAAGGUGGGUGGGUACCAGCGGUAAGACAGUAAAGGUCAAAUCGAUCAAGGUCUUGGAGUCAAUCUUGGGCGGGGUCUGAUGGCUCCCAGCAGUCCUUAUAGCUUGAGGGGGUAGUUUUGGUCUCAUCAGGGGACGCUUUGCCCUCAGGGUCUUCUGCCUGAGAGGAGAAGAGACAAGCUGGAAAGAAGCAGCCAGCUAGAAAAUUUGAGGUCAAAAUGGAGGCCCAACGCCUGGGUGGCACAGCGGUUAAGCGUCUGCCUUUGGCUCAGGGCUCG